CCUACGGGGUGCAGCAGUGAGGAAUAUUGGUCAAUGGGCGUAAGCCUGAACCAGCCAAGUCGCGUGAGGGAUGAAGGUUCUAUGGAUCGUAAACCUCUUUUAUAAGGGAAUAAAGUGCGGGACGUGUCCCGUUUUGUAUGUACCUUAUGAAUAAGGAUCGGCUAACUCCGUGCCAGCAGCCGCGGUAAUACGGAGGAUCCGAGCGUUAUCCGGAUUGAUUGGGUUUAAAGGGUGAGUAGGCGGCCUUUUAAGUCAGCGGUGAAAGUCUGUGGCUCAACCAUAGAAUUGCCGUUGAAACUGGGAGGCUUGAGUAUGUUUGAGGCAGGCGGAAUGCGUGGUGUAGCGGUGAAAUGCAUAGAUAUCACGCAGAACCCCGAUUGCGAAGGCAGCAUACCGGUGCACAACUAACGCUCAGGCACGAAAGCGUGGGUAUCGAACAGGAUUAGAUACCCGAGUAGUC
rnacentral:rRNA from 1 species